UGUGUAUCAGUCUGAGCUCCGAUGUGUCAUUGUGACAGUUAGAAACACUGUAUUUAAAGAACCAACAGUCACUUAUGUUAAUGUCCUGAAAAUGAAGAUCUCAACUCAGCUGUCACUAAAGGACAACCACAACAUAAUUGAAAAUGUGAUAAAAAAAAAACUGAUGAGCCAAGGGUUUCCACCAGGCAUAACUGUACGCCUGCUGAGCAAUGGGUCAGCGGAAGCUGCACCCUAGUGGCUACUCAUGAUCAUUACAUGAAGAAGCACAGGGGCCCAUUCCAUCUGGAGAUGUCAUAACCUAUUUUUUGACAAUAUACUCUAACUUCAACAGGCUUCAUACAUUCAUUCAUUCAUCUUCUAUACUCUAUAUUCCAUAGUGGGUCACAGGGAUCUGGUCUCUAAUAGUCUACGGGUGAGAGGCAGGGUUCACCCUGGACAGGUUGCCAGUCCAUCGCAGGU